rnacentral:rRNA from 1 species
UGUGCCUACGGGGGGCAGCAGUGGGGAAUAUUGCACAAUGGGGGGAACCCUGAUGCAGCGACGCCGCGUGAGUGAAGAAGUAUUUCGGUAUGUAAAGCUCUCUCAGCAGGGAAGAAAUAAAGUCCUUCGGACUUUGGACGGUACCUGACUAAGAAGCCCCGGCUAACUACGUGCCAGCAGCCGCGGUAAUACGUAGGUGGCGAGCGUUAUCCGGAAUGAUUGGGCGUAAAGGGUGCGUAGGCGGCCUGCUAAGUCUGGAGUGAAAGGUACCGGCUCAACCGGUACAGGCUCUGGAAACUGGCGGG